CCCACCUCCAGGGGCGGGGCGGCCCCUCCCCCUUCAAAUUUAACAGGUCACGUUGGCCACGCAGAAACCCCACUUGAUUGGGUACCCAACGCUAUGGCUCGCUUUUGGCACUCGUGGUUCCAGUUGCGUGGUCUGCGAAGAGCACAGAGGGCGCUGAUACAACCCGCUGGUGUAACAACUCAUUUUGAAGCUCUGGUCCAGCGCAUCACCACCUCCGCCCCAGCUCCCUGCAGGAAGCCGCUGUGCCAGCGCUGCCCAACUCGGUGCUCUGGGAACAGCUCUGGGCAUUUUCUGCUGUGCAAAACACAGGCAAAAGCUGGCAGCCCCCAGGCCAAGACGACAAACACCCUAGCCGGGGCUGCCUCAGCCUUGGGCAUCAGCCGAACUGCUGCGGAGGCCCUGCGGGCUAGGGACUGGUAGGUGCUGAAAGACCUCAAAUUCAGGUGUCUCCACAGGAGGCCUGUGGGAUUUGACCAGCUUUAGGCCCUUGGGUCAAGGGUUAGUGAUGUUAACCUGGCUCAGGAAUAGUUUGUGGCCCUGUUGCAGCCAGGCAGGAGUGGAAAGUCACCUGCAGGCUGGGUUGGAAGCCCAGGCCUACCCUGGAGCCAGUGACCCUUUGGUCCCACCACCCCCAAGGGCUGCCAACCCCUGCCCUAUCCAGGCCUAAGGGAGCCAUAUAGGUUUAAGUGCCAGCAGGGCUGGAUUAACCCUUUAGGGGGCCAUAGGCAAACAAAUUCAUGAGCCCCAGGCCUGUUGAGACCCACCUUCCCCACCCCCCAAACCCAGUGCUGCCACCCAUGGGGAACGGGGCUUGGAGCUGCUGCUAGGAGGCAGCUAUCAUGGUGGUGAGGCCAGCGAGAUGUACUGUACAGAGCCUGGGAAGAGUGGUGAAACAAGUCAGAAAACCCAAAGGCUUUUGGAGCCAGCUCGUAGCUCCAAAACAUCACCACACAGAAGCUGUAACCCCCAACUCACACUGCACGUUCGACACCUCUGUGCAACUGCAGUUCAGAAGUACUCAGGAGUGCAAUCAGGGCAGGUGCUCAAGGAGGAAGGGAAGUGGUGAUGAUGCCCCUACCUCUCAUCCAGUUAACCUAGUGGUUGGAGCACAUGCUCAGCAAGAGGGAUAACUGGAAUCCAGGCCCUCUUCAGCCUGAGGUAGUUCAAAGCCCCAGUUCCCAUUUUCCAGGAGAGAGUACUAGCCAGCAGGAUUUAAGAUGGGGCCAGUGAAAGCACCCCUCUCACUGAAGCCACUAUCCAACCAGAGUCCAAGAAAUACUUGGCCUGAAGGACAGCAGGCAAAAGGGAGCAUGGCUCUGUAGACAUCUGACUACUGCCUUCCCUCAGGAAGGAGAUAACCUGGGUUCUGGAAAGCCAGUUACCAGAACUCUUUGUGCAUUUGCAUUAACGUCAUUAGCCCUAGAAGCAAGGACUGGAAUCAAGUCUCCUCCCUACUUCCCAGGGGGAGCUGUAGCCAUUACGUUUCAGAGGGAUGUUGUCUUGGCCCCACAGUUUCAACAGGAAGAGAUAGUGGUUGCCUGUACCCUCACCUGUUUUGUAGUCUGGGGCACUAGUACACUUGCCUGGGAAGUGGGAGGUGUGGUUUCAAAUCCCCUCAGGCAGAAGAGCCCCCAUAUACUCCAGGCCAACUGCUAUGUCCUGGCCAACUGCUCAAACCACUCAGAUUUUAGGCCAGCAAUUUCCAAAGAACUUGUUGCAGCACACUGGCACAUCAUGAGUGGCAGAAGCAUGCCGUAAAAAAUUAGCUGAAUCAGUCCCCGGUUGGGCUGCCCUCCCCCUCCCCUUCACCCCAGCAGCAUUAGGUCCACAGACCAGACCCAGCCUAUGGCCCAACAAGUGAAGCCAAAUUUUAAUUUGGAAAAAACAUGUUCCCCAGGUAUUAAAAGUUUGGGAAAGACUCUUUUAGGCAAACAUGGGUAGUUCUACCACCAGCACUCAUUUCUGAAUAGUCUUCACUUAAAGCUGUUGAUGUAAAUUAGACAUGUUUGGAGCACUCCUGGUGGACCAUGCUUCUCCAGGAACUUAGGCAAAGUUGAAGUAUCACCUGGCCUACAUCAGAGCCUGUGCAGUGGGUAGAUGCCUACACACCCCAAACAGGUAACUUCUGAGCAUGCUCAGAAAGCCACCCAGAGAUGCCAAAGGAACUUUGCAAAAUGGAGGCACCUGAUUCUGGGCAGUAAAUGCCUUUUGGGUCUGCUGGCACCAAACCCAUUUGAACUGCUUCUAAGGACCUGCAUGCCUAAGCUGUUUUGACAUCUGCAGAAGCAAUCUCAAACUGACCCUAGUUCUACUGAACUUAUUGCUAGUCAACCAGUUAACUCUGCAGCACAGGUUUAUAUAUUCUUCUUAGUUUAAGUCUUCCAAAAUAAUAAUGCUGGGCAUCCAAGGCAACACACCCUAUAGGGUUGGGCUUGACUUCCUGAGGCUGGAUAUCACCCUCUCCCCCCCCAUUUAAGAUGUUAGUUUGGACAUGCAGAAAUCCAAUUCUGUUAGAUACAAAAUACAAUUACUUGCUUUUGAAAAUCAUGGCUCUAGUUGUGUGUGUGUAAACUUCCAGUAAGAGCUCAGUAGAUCACCAGUAUAAUCUGCUUGUAUAACAAUUCAUUUUGAAACCAGAACAGUUUUAGUUCUUAUUCGCAUAGCCAAUGCAGUGUUACAAUAUUACACUUUUAUCUUAAAAAAUAGAAGUCUCACUUUUCAAAGAGAUGCUGGGCACUAGAACAACAGGAAAUUCAGACAAUAAUUUGCAUACAAACAGACUUGACAACUGUAUCACUAUAAAAAGAUAUUGAUUGAUACAAGCUAUGAUACAACUGCUACAUCUACAUGAUUUGUAGGGAUCUCUAGUGAAACCUGUUCAACUUUACCACUGUUUUUCAUUCAGGGUCAAAAUUAGGGCAACUUAACUCAUUGCAUUGCUUUAGGAUCAUAUGUUGUAAUACCUGAUGCAAGCUCUCAAACAGAAGCUCUCGCUCCCUUUUUUAAGGAGCUAAAAAUUAGUACAGCUCACUAUAUCCUCAGUCUCUUGCAUCCCCUCUCCCCCCCCAAAUUAUACUCUUAGAAGGCUUUCCUUUACAUGUCCAAAGAGAUAAAAUAGCCCAGCCAUUUCUCACAGCAAAAAGAUUUCUUAGGUACAAAUAUUCAAGGCUUUACUUUCUACCAUGGGUUUUUAAGUGAAAAUUUAAAUUCAAAUGCCAGUCAAUGCUCAAAAUAAAAAUAUUGAAAAUGAAAAAACAUUGUGCUCUGCUUCUUUUGAUCCCCAGGAAUGGGAGCUUAGCCCACCACUCUUUAGCAUCCAGCUUUCUAAGGGAAGUGAGAGUCAAAUUCAGAUGCAACAAAGUUUUGUAAACUACGUCAGGCAUGUUCAGCUUUGCACACUCACAAUUAGAAGCCAUGACUUGGCUUCUAAUCAGCUUGCAAAAUGAGUAUAAUUUACACAGAUUUGUUAUGCUGUCAAAAACGCAGAAUUCACUACUUUAAAGCAGGUAAUUAAACCUUUUUUACCUCCUCUCCCCCAUCACAUCCCAGGCCAGAUCCAAAUGCACAUUUGGUAGUGGGGUGAGCAGCAUUAGGGAGCCACAAGGAUUGAUGCAGCUGUUACUUGCCAAGAAGUCACCUGUGAGGCUCUGUACCCUGGAUUUCAGUAGCAGACCCCACCACAAAUUUCCAGCACCUCUAGGAAUUCCCUGGGCUGGAUGAUAUGGCUCCAAGGGCCCUAUUUCUGACAGUCCUGGUUUUGCUGUGAAAAAAUGGAACAUUCUUACUUAGACUCUCCUUGCUGAUGUCUGCAUUAGAUGGCAUGGCUUCCUGCAAUGCUAUUCAAACUCUUAAUGGCUAGGGACACAAGUUACAUAUGGACUGAUUAAGUCCAGAAACUGGUUUAAACCUGUAAAAGAACAGAAACUUCAGUGCACAUAAACCAGUUUUAAAAUGGCUGAAGCUGGUUUAAAAUAAACCUAGCUGAAUGUAGUAUCAAACUUAACUUCUGUUCCAGCCCCCUUCCUGGUUUAAGUUAUAUCAGUCCCCCAGCAUGCUUUGCAGCCCUGUGCUGUGCUGUCUGCUCCAGAGAACAGGGCCGACUUUGCUUUUGUGCUCCCUAGCUGGAGCAUUGAGGGCUGGCUGACAAAGGGCUGGCAAGCCCAGGUGGGGAUGUAGCCCAGACUGCAAGGGAACCCUAGCUGGGGUCUGGAGCCAGGGAAGGGGAUUAAACACCUCUUCCCCCACUCAAACUUACUGGGCUGUGACUGUGGACUACAAAUCCUGAAGGCACCUGGAAGCAGGAAGAGCAAGUGAUGAGCAACCCUACAGAUUCCUGCUGCUGUGAUUGCAGACUGCAAAUCCCAGAGACCUGGGGGCAGCAGGAAGAGGAAGCCAACUCACAGCUGAUGCUGGCUACAUGCCAGAAAGCCAUACUCUAGUGCUCCCUGGCUUUUGCCCUGAGCCACUGCAGGCACGUAGCUGCAUUUCCUGAAUCAAAGGUAAAUGUCUGUUCACUUGUUUCAAAUUUAAUCUAUGCAGUUUUGACUAACCUGUAAAGACUGAAUCAACUCAGCCUCAGGCUUUUUGACUGUCUUUACUUAACGGCCAUAUCCCACCACUUUCAAACAUAUGACUUCUAAUAGGCUUUUCUCCACUUUCAAGAAGUGAAAAGGAAAAUCCAUAUCAACAAGAAAGCUUCCCAACUCCCUUCCUCCCACCCCCUGAGAAGUCUUAUUUACCUUAGAAGGCUGGUUUGGAAAGCAGCUAGUGAGACAUUAUUAAAAACUUACCUUAUCACAGAGGCUCUUAACCUGUUCAGGGCACCCACCUGUCUACCUCUUUUGAAUGUGGUGGCAACUGCAGGCUGAGAACCACUGCUGGUGUUACCUCAACUUCCUCACUGCUUCUCAAAGGGUUCUGUUGCCCCCAGGUAAAAGUACCUUGUGACUGCUGCACAACCAGCCUAACAAAGGCUAUGGCACAUGCAAACACCCCUACCACAUUAAGGCCUCUGAUAAGCCUAAAGUGGCUUAAGUAGGAGCUGCCUUAUGCUGUGUAGCCCCUUCCCAGCCUGAGCCCCCCAUACCCUCCUCCUGGAAGAGACAUGUGGGUGAAACAGUCCCACACGCUUCUGUUUUCUGGGGAGAACAGGACUGGGAAAGGCUGCUGCAUCAGCCAGCUUCUUUAGGGCUGGCAGAGCCAUAAUGCAGCAGGAGUGCACACAGGGCAGUUUUAGCUGGCCAUUCCCACCACACUCCCCAGCUGAGAACCACUGGGUUAUCAUCUGCACUUGCUCUCACACAAAAACCCAAGCAUGCACUCUCUCAAAAGGAUCACCACUUGCCCUGCUUACUGUGGCAAAGGCUAACAUUAAAGCAAAUGGGAGGGUCUAUUUAGAUUAAAGACUGAUUGAAGACAGCAGGAUUUGGCCAAAGGGGCAGAUGCAGAAGUAUACUCCAGAAGUUCACUUUUCCUUCAGUUCUCCCCAAUUAGAUCAAUGCUAGUUACAUGUGUUAAUUGAAGGCAAAACUGAACCCUAAGGCUAGGGACAGAAGUUACACCAACUGGGUUAAGUGAUUAGAAACUGGUUAAAACCUGUAAUGGAACAGAAGCUCAGCGCACAUAAACAAGUUUCAAAAUGGCUGAAACUGGUUUAAAAUAAACCUGGUUGAAUGUAGUAUCAGACUUAACUGAUUUGGCUCAAACCGGUUAUGAAACUUCUGUCCCAGACCUCUUGCUGGUCCAAGUUAAAUCAGUCCCCUGGCUUGCUUUGCAGCCCUAGGUUGGCUGCCUCUGUGCUCCCUAGCUGGAACAGUGAGAGCUGGCUGACAAAGGGGGGGGGGGGGGCAAGCCCAGCUGGGGAUGCAGCCCAGUCUAUGGGGGCAGAGAGGGGCUACUACCCCUCCCCCGAAAACCCCAGCUGGGGUUUGAGGCCAAGGAGAGGAGUUAAACACCCCUUCCCCUGCUCAAACUUACUGCUGGCUGCAACUGUGGACUACAAAUCCCAGAGGCACCUGGAAUCAGGAAGAGGAAAUGAUGAGCAACUCUGCAGAGUCCCGCUGCUGUAAUUAUGGACUGCAAAUCCCAGAGACCUCGGGGGCAGCAGGAGAAGGAAGUGAACACACUGUCAGAGAGCCAAGCACCCUCCAGCUUCUGGUCUGAGCCACUGCAGACAUGUGGCUGCAUUUCAUGAAUCAAAGCAGGGGUCGGCAACCUAUGGCCCACGGAGCCACUGGAUCUGGCUCGUGGAACUGGGGCUUCAGUGGCAGAGGGCCCUUGGCAGCAUUCAGCGGCAGGAACUUUACCCGUGCUGCGCCACGCCACGCUGCGGCCAGGUGGCUGGGAGCUUUCCCGUGGUGCGUCGCAGCCAGGAGGCAAGGAGAAAUGGCAGCAGGAAGAAGCAGCAGCAGCAGCAAUCAGGUUCUAGUGUCAGCUCGCCUAGGACCCGAGCUGGUCAUUCCAGCCUGCCGCCACAAGAUUUUGCUGACCGCUGCACUACAGCAAUAUCUACUUGAACUACUUCUUACAUCCUUAUGGAAUAAGUUAUAAAAAAUGUUACUUGCACAGAAUUUCAUCAAUGGUUUUUACAUUUUCCAGUUCCUUUGAAACCAUGUACAGAUUUGCAUGCACCUGCUUACUAACUUUUCCACUAUGCAGAAAAUAUUUAUGAUGAAUACAGGCUCAGGUAUAAAACGGUGCUAUGCAAAUGAUAAUACCCCUCUACUGUAUGUCAAACCUGACCUUGUGUAGUUUAUGAAGUUCACUUUUUUCUCCUUCGUAAAAUGUACGGAUUUUGCCCCACUCCCCCAAACUAUUUCCCUGUUCUUUUGUUAUUAAAGAGAGAAAUCUUGUGAGCUGUCAA